AGUCUUAAUUUUUGUGCGUUUAAAGUUCUAAGCAUUUUUUGCCGUUUCUCUUUUUUAAGGUUUUUCCUUCAUUUUUUCUUGUGAAUUGCUUCUAUGCUUUGUGCAUAAUAAACACAAUAGUUUUGAAGAACACAACACGAGAGAGUAUUCGAAUCAGAAAGAAAGUUAAGUAAUCAAGAAGAUGGGUUUUCCAAAGGAAGAGAAAUCCAAAAGGGUAUUGAGAGGUGUGAAGAUUGUGUUCUUCAUGAUCACCAUGGUUUUCUCACUUCUUAUUUUCUCUGCCCCAGUUCUAUUCGCCAUUGUUGAUGCACUUGUUCCUUCAGUUCUAUUCUCAGCCUUUUCUUCCUCUUCUCUCUUCUCCCAUUUUCAGAACUACCAUUUCGGAUACUCUCUCAUUGACAUACCCCUUCUAUCUAUAGCACGAUCACUUCUCAUUUUAUUUUAGUUUAAAAGAACAGUUUUUGGAUAAAGUAUUUCUGAUUAUAAUCAGAGAAAAGACACCAAAGCUGUCAAAUGCAAGAUUCCGAUUGAUUCCUCUGUGUUGGGAUUGGUGGGUGGUGGGUUUUGUGUAGGUGUUUAUAGUUUUUGCGAUGGACCAAAGCUUUCACGUGGGCCUUAUCUGGGACUGACCAUGUUAUGCUCAGUGAUGUCUCUGAUGUUUGUCUGCUUCAAAGUUAUUUGCUUGUUUGGCUACGACACGAGUGUUGGAGAAACAGAAUUACUAAGGUACAACAGAGGCUUCCAAAUAACUCUCAUCGUGUGGUCGUGUUGUUUGGCAGUGGUACAUGUGGUUGUUGCCUACAGAACAAGUUGCAGAGAAAGGAAGAAGCUUCUGGUUUACAAAAUUGACAUUGAAGGUGUAAGAGCUUGUUCUUCUUCCUACUUUGUUUCGUUACAUGAUAAAACAGAAAAAGAAAAAGAUGAUAUUUGCUUGUUUUCUUGUAAAUGAUUGACCUACUUGUGCAUC